rnacentral:rRNA from 1 species
UACGAAGGGUGCAAGCGUUACUCGGAAUUACUGGGCGUAAAGCGUGCGUAGGUGGUGCGUUAAGUCUGUCGUGAAAGCCCCCGGGCUCAACCUGGGAAUGGCGAUGGAUACUGGCGCGCUAGAGUGCGGUAGAGGAGAGUGGAAUUCCCGGUGUAGCAGUGAAAUGCGUAGAGAUCCGGGGGAACACCAGUGGCGAAGGCGGCUCGCUGGGCUUUACCUGACGCUGAGGCGCGAAAGCGUGGGGAGCGAACCGG